GGGCCUGUAGCUCAGCCUGGUAGAGCACUUGAAUCAUGAUCAAGUGGUCGAGGGUUCAAAUCCCUUCGGGCCCG
rnacentral:tRNA from 1 species